rnacentral:rRNA from 1 species
CCCCAAGAGUCCACAUCGACGGGGAGGUUUGGCACCUCGAUGUCGGCUCAUCGCAUCCUGGGGCUGUAGUCGGUCCCAAGGGUUGGGCUGUUCGCCCAUUAAAGCGGUACGCGAGCUGGGUUCAGAACGUCGUGAGACAGUUCGGUCCCUAUCCGUCGUGGGCGCAGGAAAUUUGAGAGGAUCUGUCCUUAGUACGAGAGGACCGGGAUGGACAUACCUCUGGUGUACCAGUUGUUCUGCCAAGAGCACCGCUGGGUAGCUACGUAUGGAUUAGAUAAUCGCUGAAAGCAUCUAAGUGAGAAACUAACCUCGAGAUGAGAUUUCCCAUUCGUCAGAAGUAAGACCCCUGAGAGACGAUCAGGUAGAUAGGCUAGAAGUGGAAGUGUAGUGAUGCAUGGAGCGGACUAGUACUAAUAGGUCGAGGACUUAACCAAG